AAAAAUUUAGUUAAGUUAUAACAUUAGUUUGUCAAACUAAAAUCAUUAAAUAUAAUAAUUUUUA
rnacentral:tRNA from 1 species